GGGAGAUUUCCCGAGUGGUCAAAGGGGGCAGACUGUAAAUCUGUUGUCAUCGACUUCGGAGGUUCGAAUCCUCCAUCUCCCA
rnacentral:tRNA from 1 species